rnacentral:rRNA from 1 species
UACGAAGGUGGCAAGCGUUGUUCGGAUUUACUGGGCGUAAAGGGAGCGUAGGUGGUUAGGUAAGCCCUCCGGGAAAUCUUCAGGCUUAACCUGAAAAGGUCGGGGGGGGACUGCCUAGCUAGAGGGCGGGAGAGGAGCGCGGAAUUCCCGGUGUAGCGGUGAAAUGCGUAGAGAUCGGGAGGAAGGCCGGUGGCGAAGGCGGCGCUCUGGAACGUUUUCUGACACUGAGGCUCGAAAAGCGUGGGGGAGCAAACAGG